UGGGGAAUAUUGGACAAUGGACGAAAGUCUGAUCCAGCAACGCCGCGUGAGCGAUGAAGGCCUUCGGGUCGUAAAGCUCUGUCAGAUGGAACGAAAGAAGCUAACCUAAUACGUUAGCUGUUGACGGUACCAUCAAAGGAAGCACCGGCUAACUCUGUGCCAGCAGCCGCGGUAAUACAGAGGGUGCUAGCGUUGUUCGGAAUUACUGGGCGUAAAGCGAACGUAGGCGGUGACUCAAGUCAGAGGUGAAAGCCUGGAGCUCAACUCCAGAACUGCCUUUGAAACUAGGUCGCUAGAAUCACGGAGAGGUGAGUGGAAUUCCGAGUGUAGAGGUGAAAUUCGUAGAUAUUCGGAAGAACACCAGUGGCGAAGGCGGCUCACUGGACGUGUAUUGACGCUGAGGUACGAAAGCGUGGGGAGCAAACAGGAUUAGAUACCCCCGUAGUCCCUGAGCGGGCUGGCAAGGCGCAU
rnacentral:rRNA from 1 species